CUCCUUUUCUUUUUGCGAAUACAGACUAACACGGCUGUUCCUCUGAAACCAGUAUAAUUUAUGUCACUCGGGGAUGUGAAUAAUCCACACCCCUGAGGGACAUAGGUUAUACUGACCUAAGCACUGGUGUAGAUGGUGCUAUGUUGGUGGGAGAGCUUCUCCUACCAACAUAGCUACCACCUCUUGCAGAGGCAGAAUUUAUUAAGCUAACAGUCCUGUCGUCUUAGAGCAGUGAUUCUCAAACUUUUGUACUGGUGACCCCUUUCACACAGCAAGUCUCUGACUGCGACUCCCCUCCCUUAUAAAUUAAACCACUUUUUAAUAUAUUUAACACCAUUAUAAAUACUGAAGGCAAAGCGGGGUUUGAGGUGGAGGCUGACAGCUUGUGACCCCACACAUCAUAACCUCAUGACCCCAAGGGGUCCUGACCCCCAGUUUGAGAACCCCUAUGUUAGAGUAUCUUCACCAGAAGCACUACAACAGUUCAGCUGCGCCACUGUAAAUCAUGUAGUGUAGACAUAGCCAAGAUCUCUUCCUAUUCCCAUAUAGCAACAGGCAAGAGGGACUAGGAUAAAGCUGGGAACUCAAUGUUCUGGUAGCUACUAAAAGAUGCUAUUGUUAGUUAUGGUUGUAGUAGGACUGUGAUGAGUAUCUUGACCCCUACCACAAUUAUACGUGUGUCCAAAUAAUUCUCAGCUGUGAGAUCAAUGUAUCAUGUUUGAGUCACACUUAAAGUCCAAGUCAUUUUGGAAGGUGAUCCAAGUACUAGAUAUACACUACUUUAGAAUAUUCUUCUGUAGAAUUAAUGAAAUUAAAUGAGAUGUUUAUUUGAAAUGACAUAGAUCAUAUUUUUAAACUACUUGAAGUCUCACCUAAAAUUUUCUACUUCUCACUUGUUACUCUAUUAUGUACAUUAAUGUGUUUGUCAAACUGUCACCUUUCAAAACUUAAUUCUGCUUAGUGACCCCAUGAAUAAAGGAGUCUACCUUUAAAAAAAAAAAGUUUAAUUAAGCAGUUAAUGGUGGACUCCAUCAUGGAAUAGCAAGCCUAAAGUAAGUUUCAUAUGAAAGAAGUAACUACAUCAGCAAGUAUACUGAAGAGUUCAGACAGUAUCUUUGGUCUAGCCUUCACACUCUUAAGCCAGAACAAUAAUUGGAUAUAUUCAGCUUUGUAACUAAUCCUGUUGAUUCAGAAAUAUACCAGGGAAGAUGAAUAGCUGCUCAAAAUAUUAGUGGCUCUCAUACAAUGAUCAGAUAUACAGAUAAAUGUACAUAUCUACUCUACCAUGUAGAUUUUCUUAGACUGAUUGUCAGUUUUCUAAAGGGUGAAAUGAUUGCUUUGUGCCGCAGAUGAGAUCUGCCUAAUGCUCAUCAAUGAUUCCUCUAGAAGGCCACUCCAAAUAACCCUGUAGGACAUUUUAUGUCUUCUACUGUCAGUAUGGAAAAUCGUCUCUGUUUGGAAAGAUAUACAAGCUGUCAUCUUGGAAUAUAAAUUAAGCCUGGAGAAAGAAUGCCAGACCACCAGAAAGAGAAAUCACAUUUGAAGUGUGACUGAUGAUGGCAUAAAGAUUUUUUUAUUUUUUCAAUUAACAAAAAAUCUUAUGCCUUCAUCGCAGCAAAGAAAGUUUUCUUCUUUUUAACCGUCAAGUCAUAGUCAACAGAACUGUUCCUGGUGGUGAAUCAGGGCUGCCUACCACCUCCUACUCUGUGGACAAAAAAUGUCAACCAUAUUCAGAAUGGACUAGCUAAUUCCAUGAAGGAGAGAGUGUCAUAAGCCAGACUGGUAUGAAUCAAACCUAACUACAGUACUGGGUUGUUCCAAUAACCUGUGUAAAUAUCCAAUAUUUAGUUAUGGAAUAAUUUUAAAAUUCAAGUGUUACAUUAUUUACAGCUUAGUCAAGAAUGAACAGUAACACCUGAGCAAAGUAACACCUCCUUUCACUUUACUAAAGGAGACUUUGAUUUGUAGUGAGAGGUUUUAGUAGUCUGAGCAGAAUACCAGAACCAGAAGUUUUAAUUUGGUAGUGAAGAUAAGUCAUGUUAAAAUAUGAAUUCACAAUCCCAUUACUUGUGGUCAGCACUGUUUCACACAACUGGCCACUGUAAACAAGGACGAGGUUGUGUUCAGCACUGUCAGUAAUAAGAAACCCUGUGCCCAAUACCAUAUACCCAUGACUUCCUGAAUGAUACUGAACUGAUCAUGUACUAGUUGUUUAAACUCCAUUUUGAACUAUUAAUCUGGGAAAGUCAAGACCACACUGAUACCCUGUGGCCUCAGAAAAAGUCAACCUCUCUUGCUUAGUUGUUCCAUCCGCAAAAUGCAGAAGAUAAACUCACUCAUUUCACAAGGUUAUGUGGACUAGUUAAUGUUACAAAGCCCUUUGCAGAUAGCAUUAUAAGUGUCAAGUGCUAUUUCUAUGUAGGUAACUGCUGUCCUUGAUAACGUUAAGACUUACAAAGUGCACCAAUAAAUGCCAGAGUUAUAUAAUUCCAAAAAGAGGACAAGACUUUAGGGGGGGAGGAAAGUAGCAGAGCCUUGUUUCCUUUCAGACCAAAGUACUUGGGGGAACAGCUCCAGUUCUACUCAUUUUUCUAUGCAUUGGAAUUUUUAAAAAAAACUAAUACAUUCACUUCAAAGCUUACACCCUCUACCUCCAGUUCCUUUAUGGGUAAGAAGAAGGUUGAAACAGCUCUUGGGAGAGAGUGAAGGAAAGAGAGGUUCUUCCCUUAGCUGGGAAAUUGAAAUUGAAAAACUAAAAGAAAAGGGCAGGGUUGCUAUCAAUAUGUUAGUUUUAGGAAGGGCAAGGAAGAAGCACCACAAACCUCACAUGCCCACAUAGAUAUAAAUUACCAUUUAAACCUACAUUCAUUGGAAGGUUGGGAUAAUUAACAUGGAGGAGAUGCAUUCCAGAUACCAAAAACAUUAUUCAUAAAUUGAACCAGAUUGUGACCAUUAUGUUUCUGAAUGUUUGAUGUUAAACUGAAGUAUCUGAAAACUAAAAAUACAAUCAGUACUUGUAGAACUAUUUUAGCCAUUAUGUGUUUAUAAAUUAUUAUUUUCCCAACCCUCCUAAGAGUCCGUAAAUUGGUUUGCGAAUUGAAACUGCAACAGAUUAGAGCUAAAACAUUUUUGCAGUUGUACUCAUUCUUUAAAGUAACAGACUUCAAAAUGGUUACAUAUCUUAAGAUGAGCUUGUUGAAACUUUGAGAAAGGAUACUACAUGACAUCUACAGAAUAAAGCAAGUUUGUUUUUAAGAUUUACAAGCACUCCCUCAUUAAUAAAGCUUCACAAUCUACAAAGAGAAAAAUCUUUCACUAGUGGCUUCAUAAUUAUUAGCCAUGUAAAAGAAAAAUGUGAUUAAAAAAGUUAGACAGAUAUACACUAGUGAAACUUAUUGUCAUCUACGGUCACUUAAUAAUAGGAAGAGUUCUUAGGAGUGAAGAGUCCAUAUCCCUAAUUAUAAAUCCAUUGUUACAUAAAAUAUUAAAAUUCACAUCCUAGAGAAAGGAUAUUAGAGAAUUGUUAAAUCCAAGUGUGAAACUAAUCCUUAUGUUAGGAUUUCCAGCUCACUGAGUAAGUUCUAUGGUCACCGCUGAUCAGAUAGAAGAGGUCAUGAUUUGUGAGCCCAGUAAGACACAUAUUUCCUUUCCCAACCCCUGCUGUUUAACUCUGUCCUGCAGGGCAAAUUGUUUAACAACUUUUUUGUUAAACUGCUUGUUAACAAGGCUAUAGGGAACACAAGAUGCAUAUCACAUGCAUCCAUUCACAAUAUACUGCAAUUGCAGCCCAAAGGGUUAAGACUAGGCGUUAAAUAAGCAAGUGAAUGGGAUUAUGUACUGUACUUUAUGCAUCCGAUGAAGUGAGCUGUAGCUCACGAAAACUUAUGCUCAAAUAAAUUGGUUGGUCUCUAA